rnacentral:rRNA from 1 species
CGUAGGGUGCAAGCGUUGUCCGGAAUUAUUGGGCGUAAAGAGCUCGUAGGCGGUUUGUCGCGUCUGGCUGUGAAAUCCCGAGGCUCAACCUCGGGCUUGCAGUGGGUACGGGCAGACUAGAGUGCGGUAGGGGAGAUUGGAAUUCCUGGUGUAGCGGUGGAAUGCGCAGAUAUCAGGAGGAACACCGAUGGGCGAAAGGCAGAUCUCUGGGGCCGUAACUGACGCUGAGGAGCGAAAGCAUGGGAAGCGAACAGGAUU